rnacentral:rRNA from 1 species
AGAGACAGCAGCCGCCGCGGGAAUACGGAGGGGGCUAGCGUUGUUCGGAAUUACUGGGCGUAAAGCGCACGUAGGCGGCUUGGUAAGUUAGAGGUGAAAGCCUGGAGCUCAACUCCAGAAUUGCCUUUAAGACUGCCGAGCUAGCAGGUGAGAGAGGUAAGUGGAAUUCCGAGUGUAGAGGUGAAAUUCGUAGAUAUUCGGAAGAACACCAGUGGCGAAGGCGGCUUACUGGCUCAUACUGGACGCUGAGGUGCGAAAGCGUGGGGAGCAAACAGGAUUAGAUACCCGGGUAGUCCCUGUCUCUUAUAC